UGCCGUUAUUAACUUAGGUUCACCAAUGUACCCAACAAGGUGUAAUAGUCAACUAAUAGGAUGUGUGUAUGUACACAGAGGCAUAAGGAGGCUGGCAGAUCCAAAAUCUGCAGAGUGGGCUGGCAGUCAUGAGACCUGGAGACAAGCUGAUGAUACAUAUCGAGUCACUGUGGAAUUCCUUCUUGCUUGGAGGGGGGUCAAUCUUUUGUUUUAUUUUGUUUUAUUCAGACCUCCAACUGAUUGGAUAAGGCCCAUCCGCAGUAUGGAGGACAGUCUGCUUUACUCAGAGUCCUUUGAUUUAAAUGUAAAUAUCAUCCAGAAACACCCUCAUAGAAACAUCCAGGAUAAUGUUUGACCAAAUAUCUGAAUACUGUGGCCUAGCCAAGUUGACACACAAAAUUUAUUAUCACACCAGGUCAAUAUUACUCUCCUACCCGAUCAGCCAUCUCUUCCUCACAUUUUUUGCUAUCACAGCCCUAAAUCUUGUCCCUUCUCUUCAAACCUAGGACACUUCUCCCUCUUCUGUUGAAUUAAAAACACUUAUUCAUCCAAUUUUUAUUGAAUCCCUACUAUUCCAAGCUAGGAAUAUAAUGUGCUAGGCUGUGUGAUUUCAAUGUGAGCAAAACAAAGACUUGGCCACUGUCUUCUUAGGAGAGAGAGAAAUUAAUAAAAUAGUCACAAAUCUUAUAGACUGUGAUGAAAACAAUGAAUGGGGAUAUAAGAGGAUGCAGAGAGGCACGUCAGUAGGUGAAGAGGGGUUGGAGACAAGAAGGGCUUUGAGGGCAGAGGAAACAGCAUGUGCCAAGGCAAAUGCUGAUCUCAAAGAUGGCCCAUCAAGUGAUCUAACCUCCUACUUCACCAAGAAAAUAAAUAGAAACCAUCAGAAUGAAACUCUCAACUUCCUCAUCCGCACCUGCACACCAACCUGCAUCAAUGCCUAUUCUUUCCUCUUUCCUUCCUGCUAAAGACCAAGCCUGCCAUGAGUUCCCCCCCCCCCCGCCCCCGUCUCUCUCUCUCUCUCUCUCUCUCCUGGCUUCUUGCAGCCAAUGGGUAGUCUUUCUCACCUUAAAUCAAAAUUUAUAAACUAACGGGACCUUUCAAGAUUGAACAUCCUACUCCUGCUUCCACUCUAUUUUUCUCCUCCCUGGAGUGAUCAAAUUUUUGUUGGCAUUGCCUACAUUGUUUUUCCAUUUCUUCUUAAAAGCGUUGAAAUCUGGCUUCUACCGAGACUACCCUGUUGAAAAUUCUGUUUAUCAGAGUCACUAAUGACUUCCAUGGCAUUAACUCCAACAUAUUCAAGCUUUCAAGUACUUUAUUUUGCUUAUCCAGUCAGCAGCACUGGACACUGUUAGACUACCCUUUUUUCCUGAAAAAUGGUUUUCCUUCUACUGAUCUAGGCGCUCUUUAUUUCCCUUGUGGUGUCCUCUUCUACUCAUUCCUUAAGUACUGGUGAUCCUCAGGGUUGAUCUUCAGGCUGCUUGCUCUUCUCAUUCUGUAUACAGAAGUUGUAUAACAAAGAGGUGAAUAAAUGGAAAGAAAAGAUGCUCCCAACUGAUCUUAUUCUGAUCUACUUCUGUUUUAUAUUGUGCUACAUAAUUUGAUUAUAUUUCACUGUUUCUCCCUUCUCACCCUUCCUAAUCAAUCCAAUUAAACCACAUUCCAGUAAUCUUUAUCUCUGGCUCAGUGAACAGGUCUAAAGCAGUAAUAGGAAGAUAAUAAGCAAUCAAUAAAAAUGUGUUGAAUGAAUUAGUAUCAUGAGGACCAGUAAAUGUUGUGUAAGUGCUUCUAGAGCAUGCACCCACUCGGUCCUUCUUUCUUUGGAUUAAUCAACAUUUACUGAAAAACCAUUGAUGGAAGAUAGGCUUCAUCUUAUUUCCAGCUGUGAUUGAUUAAUAGGGGUCUGCUUGGAGAGCUAUGUUGAGAGCAGUUACCUAGGGAUCAGUGUGAAAGAGUGCUGUAAUCUAUUGAUAUUAAUACUGUUGUGCCUAAUACAAAUAACAUACUACUAUUAAUUGAGCACAGACCAUGUGAUAAGCACAUUAAUUGGAUUAUCUCAGUUAGAUCUCACAACAGCUCCAUGGGACACCAUGACUUUACAUUAAUGUAACUGAGACACAGAAAUGUUAAAACUUGCCCAAGACCAACCAGCAAACAAAUGAUAGAGUUGGGAUUUAAAUCUAAUAUAUCACACUUUAGAUUCCAUGGGCUUAAGCAUCAUGCUAUAUAUAUUCAUAAUGGGGAGUGGUGGCCUUUUUUUCCCUGAAUUUUUGCCAUUCUUGGCCUAAAUUAAACUAUGAAGAGGGGAAGAAAGAAUAGUAUAGGUGAUGAUAGUAUGUAAAAAGAAGGAUACUCUGCCCUAUGAGGCCUCAGUUACCACAUCUCAAAAAUGGGUUAUUGCACUUAAAAAAAUACAAACAACACAAACUUUUUUUUCCUUUUGAUAUCUCAAAAGUUACCAAUACAGAGGAGAGAACCUUAGUUUUGGAAUUAUUUCAGAGUAAGUUGCCAAUCUGAUGCUCUAAUACUCUCAAAUACUUUAAUGUGUACUUCCUACAAACAAGAACAUUUCUCCCAUAUAACCACAAUACCAUCAUCAAAACUGAGAAAUCAACAUUGUUACAUUAGUACCAUAUAAUACUCAGCCUUCAUAUUUAGAUUUGUACAGAUGUACUAAUAAUAUUGUUAAUUGCAAAUGGACAGUGUUCAGAAUCAUGCUAUGUAUUGAGUUGGCAUAUCCUUUAGUCUCACUGAGCAUCCAGCAACUCACCAAUUCAGGUUUUCCCACCCAGCACUGGUUCCCACAGUGGUUUCCUCUUCUGAGUCUCUGCUCCAGUAAACUCUUACUCCCUGUAUUCUCCUCUCUCUCUCUCUCUCUCUCUGAAUUGUGGGACAGAAGUUUGCCCUGUGUCUUCCCCUCUUUUAUGGAUCCUAAAAGAGUUAUUGAUUUCUUGGUCUGUUCAACUUUUUACUUGUUAAGACAGUGACUACUUCCAUGCUCCUUACACACAGAACUGGAAACUGGAAGUCCCUUUAGUCUCUUUUAUUCUGAAACAGUUCUUUGGUCUUUUGUUGACUUUCACAACCUUGAAAUAUUCAGGGCAGUUGUUUUGUAGAAUGUUCCUCAGUUGGGUUUAAGUAAUGGUGCUUCAUGAUUAAAGUUAUUUACACUUGGCAGUAAGAGCACAAAAGAGAUGGUUGUGUUUUUUGAGUUUCAUCUUAUCUGGUCAUCCAUGAUUUCAGUUUGUCCCAUUUUGAGGUUCACUUUGAUCCCUUGAAUGAGGUUAUGGCUGCUGGGCUUUUCCACUGUAAAGUUACUCUUUCACUCUUUAAAACUAAUUAAGUUAUUUAGGUAAUUAUGUGAGGUAAUAGAUAUAUUAAUUAGCUUGACUAUAGUAGUCAUUUCAUGAUGCACAUGUAUAUCAAAACAUCACAUUGUAUACCUUAAAUAUAUACAGCCUGUACAAAUAAAUAACAAAAUUUUACUUUGAAACUUUGUCCAUAAGAAACUUUGCUCUCCUCACCCAACUCAGGCUGUGACUCUUCACAGCAGCUGCCCAUCCCACCCACUGCAGAUACUCUGCUCAUUCUUCUCAGGCUCCAACGUCUCAUGCCAGGUUAUCUCUUCAUGUGGGUGCUUGACCCAUCCUCUUUGAACUCUGGCAUCCUACCAUGGGAUCUGGACCACCAUGAGUCCCUGCCCCUUCCAGCACAAUGCUUACUUUUUCCUACCCAUCUUUUGGCUUUAGAACUAGUUUUUCAGGAAGGGAAAGGGAAGCAGAGAUUACAUACUAUUUAAGAUCACUUCCAACUCCAGCAUUCUGUGAUAGAUAAAUUAGUAUGGUUAAUUUAAUUUGCAAGUUUAUGCUUAGAAACUGGGGAUAGAGGUUUGUUGAAAUCAUUGGGACAAAUGACCAUGCCUGAAAUAAUCACUGAGGCUAGGUCAAAGUGGGGCACUGAGUAUUUUGGACUAGGGCUGGAUGUAUCACACUGAGGAGUCUGACCAGAAGCACAAGAUCCAAGAGUAGGCAGAGAAGUCAGGAUAUGUUUACCUAUAACCCCCAGAGAAGAGAGCAGUGAUGACAGUGGAUAUCCAGAAAGCAGUAAAUGUCCAUUAGAGUAAUCAAAGCAAAAAAAGAAAAAUAUUUAACACUAACCAGUAAGUAUCUUAGUAUGAGUUAGAGUGAUUAGUAAGCUUAUGCAUUAUGGGAACAAUUCAGUUGGUCAAAGCAAUAACAUGUUGACUACACAUUAUUAGACUACUAGAUGCCAUGAACGUUUUGAUUUCUUUUGCUAAUGGUGCAAGCUGAUUCCAGACUAUAAGUAAUUGAUCUUAUACUGCCAUCCUUUGGUUGAGUUUUAAAUGCCUUCCAUACUAACAAACUAUUUUGGCAUAUUUUUAGCACACAGAGGUAAUCAGGAUUCUAAUUACAGCACUAAUUUUUUUAGAUUAAUAGUAAAUAAAUUAUGGGAAAAGUGAAGAAAUAGAAAUAUACUUUCAGCUAAUAAACUUAGAAGUCACUGACAAAGCCCAUUUUUGUCACAACUAAACUCGCCAAUUAUAGCAUGAAAGUGUCAUAUGCAAUACAUAAUUGAAUGGGCACAGUUGUGUUCCAGUAAAACUUUAUUUAUGAAAACGGGUAGUGAACUGGAUUUGGCUCAUGGGUUGUAGUUUGCUAACUUCCGAUUUAGAUCAUUAAUGUUGAGAGAACUUUCACUUCCAGACAUGUUGAGAGACUAGAUUCACCCUCCCACUUUAAACAACUAAAAUAUGAAAGAAAACAUGUUAAACAAUAGGUUUCAGACAUUGGGUAACAGGAAGCAUAGGAUAAUGAUCCUUGAGAAAAAGAAAAUAAAUAUAGUUAGCCCUAUUAUUGCUCCUGCUUACUGUGUGGAGAAAAUUUCUAGGAGCACAAGGAGGAGGAGGAAACCCAAACAGAUCAGUGAUCUCACUGAGUUGAUAGUCAAAGUUUGGAGUUCAGAGAGGUAGUUAGAUAUUGCAGGGCAAAAUAUUAGAGAGAAAAGAGAUAGAGACAAAUACUGAGAUAUAAAGAUACAGAGAUCUGUAGAAGGGACUGCUGGAGUCUGUAGCUAAUUUGUGAUGUGUGAAUUAACCAAGACUGGGGAAAAAGACCCAGAAAGGAACAGGCCAGCUAUCCCCAGGGCUGACACAGGGCUGGGAAUAUUUCAUUUUCUACUGACCAAAUUGCAAAGACUUCCUAAUACAGGGAACAUUGAGGAGAGUCCUUACAAGGGUAUUCUCUUGGUAGUGGAAUAACAUUGCCCUAGACUAUAAAGUCUGAUCCAUCCACCCUAGCAAAGCUUAAAAGCAAGGCCCCAAGAAAUCAAACAGAUUCCAAGUAAAUUAACUAUGUCUUAAACAAAGCCCAACCAUAUAUAUAGGACUUAGCAAAUUCAGUACCCAGUAAAGUAAAACUUAGAAUGUUCAGAAUCCAACCAAAAGCUACCAGGCAUGCAAAGAAGCAAGAAAAUAGGACCCAUAAGCAGUAGAAAAAAUAAUCAAGAAACCAGACCCAGAAAUGACACAGAUAGAAUUAGCAGACAAGGAGGUUAAAAGGCCUAUUAUAAAAAUACCCCAUAAGCUCAAGAAGGUAGAAGAAAAGAUGAACAUAAUGAAGGAAGAAAUGAAAGAUGUCAGAAAGGAACAAAUUGAACUUCUAGAGAUGAAAAAUGUAAUACCUAGAAUGAUAAAUAUAUUGGGUGGGAUUAACAUUAGAUAAGAUAUUAGGAUAUAAGAUAAGAUAUAAGAUAUUAUUCAAUCAACUUGAAGAUAUAGCCGUAGAACUAUCAAAAAUAAAAGAGAAAAAGACUAAAAUAAAUGAACAAAACAUCAGUGGCCUGUGUGAAAAUAUUGAAUGGUCCUGACAUAUCUACAAUAGAGUCCCAGAAAAAGAUGAAAAAUGUUGGAAAAAAUAAUGUCUGAAACUUUCUGAUUCUGAUGAAAAUUAUAAAAACACAGAUUCAAGAAACUCCUAGUAGAAGAUACAGGAAGAAAAUCACACCAAGGCAUAUCAUAAUCAAAUUGCUGAAAAAUGAUGAUAGAAAAAUUUUAAAAGCUGUCAGAGAAAAAGGAGACACAUUAUGCACAAGGGGAUAAAAUUAAGAAUGACAGCAGUCUUCCCUUCAGAAAUCAUGUAAGCCGAAAGACAGGAGGAAAAUAACACCAGACAGAAAUUUAGAUCUACAAAAAAAGAAUGAAGACUACCAGUAGCUAUGUGGUAAAUAUAUGAUGAUGGUAGAUAUGGUUGGUUAAAUGGUAACUAUGUGAAUAAAUAUAGAAGACAGAUUUCCAGAAUCUCUUUACAAUAUAAUUUGACUAUUUAAAAGACAAAUAUAAUAUCAAUGCAUUAGAGGUUUAAAAUAUGUGAAAAUGUCUGACAACAAUAGUACAAGAAUGAAAGGGAAAAGAUAGAAAUAUGUUGUAAUAUCCUUACAAUAUACUUUGUGUUAUAUAAUAUUGUUUGAAAGUAAACUGUAAUAUGCUAAAUAAAAAUAUAUACUUUAAACCCUAGAGAAGCUAUUAUAAAAAUAAAACAAAAUGGUGUAGCUAAUAAACUCAUGGUAGAAAUAAAGUGGAAUUACUUUUUAAAAAUAAAUCUAAAAGAAGGAAAAAAGAACAUGCAGGCAAUUAGAAAACAAAUAGCAAAAUGGUAGAUGUAAACCCAGACAUAUUGAUAAUCACAUUAAAUGGAAAUGGCCCAAACACUCUAAUAAAAAGCAAAGAUUGUUAGAUUGGAUAAAAAGCAAGGUCCAACUAUAUGCCAUAUGGAAGAAACUCACUUUCAAUAUGAAAAAACCAUGUAUAGGUUAAAAGUAAAAAGAUACAACAAGAUACACCUUGCAAACACUAAUCAAAAGAAAGCAUGAGUAUAUAAUAUGAGACAAAGUUGAUUUCAGAAUAAGGAAUAUUACCAGGGACAAAGAGGGACAUUUCAAAAUAAAAGAGUCAAUUCAUCAAGUGGACAGUGAUGUGAUGUACCUAACAGCAAGAGUUUAAAGAUAUAUGAAGCAAAAACUGAUAGAACUGAAAAGGAGGUAGACAAAUCCAAAAUUAUAGUUGGAGAUUUCAAGGCAUCUCUCUUGAUAGUUGAUAGAACAAAUGAUAGAAAGAGCAUAGAAAAUUUCAACAACGCUAUCAACCAAGUUGACCUAAUUACAAUUUACAGAGCAGUUCAGCCAACAAAAGCAGAAAAUAAUUCUUUUGAGUUCACAUGGUACAAGUCACCAAGAUAGAACAUAUUCUGAGCCAUAAAAUAAGUCUCAAUAAAUUUAAAUUUCUUUGGCUACAACAGAUUCAAAUUAGAAAUCAAUAACAAUGAUAUCUGGAAAAUCCUCCAGCAUUUGGAAAUCAACACAAUUUUACAUUAUUAUAGUCAGUUGGAUGAAAAUGAUGUGAAAGUCUUGAUUACAGAUUAGAGAUUGUUCUCAUUUAUCGUUACAGUGUUUUCCUGAAGUUCUGCAUUAAAGAUUUAUAGAUAUAUGUUGAGAUCAGGUCAAAAAUCUGUUGUCUAGAUAGAGAAUCAGAAUGUUAUCAAAACAGAUGUUAUUCCUUCUGUAUAUUAUAAAUAACCAUAGGUCUUUGUUGAGAGAGAGAGAGAAACAGAGACACAGAUAGAGAAAGAAGGGGCAGAGAAGGAAGAGGAGAAGGAGGAGAAAGAGGAGAAGAGGGAGAAGAAGAAAUUUCAAAAACACUAGUGGAGUUGCUGCCACAUUAAAAAUUAUUCAGAUAUAGUGAGAUCAUACCCUUCCAGAUACCCAGAGCAACUCAGCUUGUCUUCAAAAGAGCCACAAGAAGAUAAAAAUGUUGAACUUUUAAUUCCUACCUUCUGUUCUAUCUGUAAAAAUAUUUUACCAUAACUAUCUAUGAAUCCCCAGGAAGAAUGUGACUGAUGAAGUCAUUUGUUAAGUGGAAGUAAAAUAAUAUGCAUUCGUUAUUUAUCAUAGUUUAGACACCAUACUAGAUUUUUAUUUAUAAUCUUAUUAUCUGCUGAUCCUCAAAAAUGUUUAUAAAUUAGAGAUGAAAAAACUGAGUGAGAAAGGAAUUAAGUAACUUGCACAAAGUCACACAGCCAGCAGAUGGUAGAGAGAAUAUUCCAUUCCAGGUCUUUGUGAUCAAAAUCCAAAUUCCGUAAUUCCGAUGAUAAUAUAUAACAGAUUUCCUUCUUUUUCCCUAGCCUUUUCUUAAGCAAUUGGCUUCUCUAGCAGCCAGUGGGAAAGAACAGAGCCCUUAGUUCACUGAAUCACUUUAUAAUGUUACUGGUUGCCGUAGGAGAUGUGAAAACAUGAAAGAAGUAUUUGUCAUCCUGAUGGACACCAUGGUCCCAAGCAGAGGAACACUAUGUACAGAUGUCAAAUAACCAGUAAGUCUAGUGGAAUUACUAGGUAAUUUUUGAUCCUGUGAAAAGUUUAAAAACUUUUCAAGGAGGACAUGCUUUACAGAACAAUAUCCAAUACAAGCUGUGCAUAGCUUAGAUGUUAAGUUUGUAGUCAUGGGCCCAAGGUUUAACAUGACAUAACCUACCUUUGAACAGAGUUAGUACUCUGUCCAAUUUGGUGUGAAGUUUUCUUUUCUUUCCAACUCCCACUCCCUGACAUCAGUUUAAAGCCUAUUUACCUUGUUAGCUCAGAUAAGAGAUUUCUGUAAUUUGACUCUCAUGGACCUGGAUCUGAAAGUUCAAAUUCCACAGCACCCAAAAUGUUAGAAAUCUUUUGAUCGAUGUAGUUGAACUUUUGUACAGGAAAAGAUUCCUCCAUGGAGCAUGUUGACUCAGUUUAUUUCAGCUUAUUAAUACCAGACCGACUAAGUGACACCAGCAUAUAGCUGAGCUGGUAGAUAAUGAGACCAGACAUGUUUAGUCUCUUUUCAACACUUGUGAUCUCACCCAACUACCUGCAGAGAAAUGGUCAAAUAUAAGUUGUAACAUCUUGUAUUACUUUGUGGUAGAGCACAUCGUCACUCCAAGUCAACACAGGUUUAUUAAGCUCCUAUUAUAGUUGUAUAGACAGUAAAAAAGAUGAGUGUUUAUUCCACUCUAUUAAGAGGUUUUAAUGUUGGAAGGUUGUAAGACAGGUAAAUAAAUAACCAUAUAUAAGGCAGACCAAGAAAAGUGGCUUAAAAGGUGCAAAGUGCUGUGAGGAUCCAGAGAAGAGAUUAAAGCUCCUUGGGGAGAGAUCUAGGCCCUAAAGGAGAAGUUGUCCUUAGUCCUUGGACAGACAGGUACUGGGAGUGAAGGAGGCAACAAGUGAUGUUUCAGAGAGAGAAAAUAUCAUUAAUACACACACACACACACACACACACAAGUCUAGCUAUAUUAAGGGAAUAGUGCAUCAUUAACUUUAUUUGGAAUUCAGGUUCCCUCAUACUACAUUUUGAGCAAUCUUAUCUAAGAUCGGAAAGGUUGAUUGGGGGUUUAUUCUGGAGGACUUAGAUAUGGAACUGGGAAUUUGUAAUUCAAGAAGCAUUACUGAUGUAAACUAGUCACAUUGAUUUACCAUAGUUAUUGGUACCCUAGGGAAUAUAGACUAACCAACUGCUCCCAAAUUCUUUUCACGUAUAAUUUUUAUCAUUUAUAAUGGUUACAUAGCAUUUCAUUAUGUGGACUUACCAACAUUUAUUUAACCAUUCCCCUAUUGUUGGACCUAUAGGCUGUCUCUAAUAUUCUGCAAUUGCAAUAAUUUUUUAAUUACCUUCUUUUGCUAAUAUUUUCCCUUUUAUAUUACUUCCAUAGGCUAGAAUCUUAGAUGUUAAACCGCUUGGGUAAGACACAAAACAAUUUAAGAUCGCUGAUACAUAAUCUUAAGAUUAAUUUGCUCAAGGAUUUGUGCAAAUUUACAGUUCUACUUGAGGUUUUAAAUUUAGUAGUGUUAAAAAGGUCUCCUUUUUAACACUACUAAAAGGUCUCCUUUUUAACACUACUAAAAUGUGUUUAAAAUGGAGUUACUUGUGCUAAGCCCCAUGUCAGUAAACCAAGACUUAGUAUUUAAUUUAAUUGCCAUUUCAACAGCCCAGGAAUGUAACCUUUAACCAGUCAACCUAGAAUUACCUGGUUAGCGCUAGUGAGGUAAUCUGCCGUAUAGGCCCCUCCAUUCCCCUUAGGAAGGCAACCUUGCCUGAGACAAUACAUUUUUUGCUAAUAAUUUUCUUUUUUCUGCCCCCUUUCUACCUUUAAAAACCUUUCCUUUUCUACAGCUUGGUGAAGCCAGUUUGACCUUUAAUUUUACUCAAAUUUUUGUUAUUUAAUCUUUGCCCCUGAGUGCCUUACAGGUGCUUCUAAGCCUCUGAUACAUAUAACUCCAUGAAACACUACUACUUUAAGAAGAAACAUUUACUCUCAAUAAAAGAACUUUAAUAAGCUUGAUCAAAUGACUAAAUAUUUAGAAAGCGUAUUGUGUUGAGUGAAACUUUGUGUGUAAUAAAUAAUGAGAGUAAUAGAAGAUCAUUUUGGAUGACUGGUCUGUAAUUGCCUCAAGGAACACAUACAAAGAAAACAAAUUCUUCUGAUUACUUCCUCAAACAGCCAACACAAUGGGGAGGAAAUGUCCCAUGAACAGUAUGAAAAGGGAACCAGAAAGGCUAACAUGUAAACUUUGAGAAAUGACAGCAUUAGAAACAAAACUGCAAAAGAGAUCCCCUUCCAGAAUAAUCUGAGAUGCACGAAAGACAUAUAGUCACUAGAGUUGGAGCCUUAUCAAGUCUGUACAGAGGUGAGUGGAGUAUUUGACCUUCACCAUGAUUAACAAGCCUUUCUUUGACAUUGUGCUGGUGCUGUUGGCAUCUUCCUCUGUCUGCUCCCGAGAGCUGAAACUGGUUCUUUUCCAACAAAAGAGAGUGAACAGAGAGAGUUUAAAACUCUUGAAUAAAUUGCAGACCUCUUCAAUUCAGCAGUGUCUACCACACAGGAAAAACUUCCUGCUUCCCCAGAAGUCUAUGAAUCCUCACCAGUACCAGAAAGGACAAGCACUGACCAUUCUUCAUGAGAUGCUUCAGCAGAUCUUCAACCUUUUCAGGGCAAUUAUUUCUCUGAAUGGUUGGGAGGAAAGCCACAUGGAGAAGCUCCUCAUUGAACUUCAUCAACAGCUGAAAUACCUAGAAGCGCUCAUGAGACGGCAAGCAGAGCAGAAAAGAGACACCUUGGGCAGUGAGAACCUUAGAUUACAGGUUAAAAUAUAUUUCCAAAGGAUACGUGAUUACCUGGAAAACCAGGACUAUAGCACCUGUGCCUGGACCAUUGUCCAAGUAGAAAUCAACCGAUGUCUGUUCUUUGUGUUCCAACUCACAGGAAAGCUGAGCAAACAAGGAAUGGAAACUUGAACCAUGUGGAGGAAGAGCCAACGGCAGGCUUUAAAAGCAUAGGCACUUCCAGCAAUUGUUGAAUAAGUUCCAGAAGAAAUUUCUCUACAUGUAUCUAUUCCAAUCAGAAGGGAUGCUCUUGGAUGAAAUUAACACGAAGGAAGAACUUCUGGGAUGCAAGUUAGGGAAGAAAGACAUUGAGAAAAGGACUUCUGGUAAAGAAUUAGCCAAGAUCUCUUACCUGCAGGAAGUAUGAACCUACAACAAAACUUUACAAACUCAGAAGGAUCCUGCAGCAAUCCAAAAGACCAUUGUGAUGUUGCCAGACUAACCAGAUUUAAAAAAACUCAGAAGAUUAUGAACUUACUUGCAUCUCUAGCUUAUUUACAUCUGUAGCUUUCUUGCAAAUUUUUAAAAUACGUGUUUCAGUAUCAACAAGAAAAUGAGAAAGUAUCUUCACACUUUGUGAAACUGUACUUCACAGAGGAAGGUAUAAACUGUACUUCACAGAAGAAGAUAUCCAAACCAUCGACAAACUUGAAAAAAAGUGAUCAACAUCGUGACUGCUCAUGGGAGUGGUCUGAAACUGAACCUGCAAGAUCUCUGAGGCACGUUCCAGCAGACCCUCCCUGCUAUUUUCUGCCAAGAGUGUACCUAAGGAUUGGAAUAGAGACCCAUGAAGGAUUUCUCAGCUGAUGGAACAGCUAAAGGUAGAGAUGGAUUCCCUGGAAGUACCUCUUCACGGCCAGUGUAGGGCCCGUCACUCCCAGGGCAGUUUCUUCAUCUCCCAUCGCCUGCACCAAGCAGGCGUCCAGGUCCUCCAGCUGCUGAUAGAGUCCAGUGCGGAGUUUGUCCAGGAGGGAGGUGUCCCAGGUGGCAGUGGAGCGCUCUGUGUGGAAGAGGCAGAAGACCUGCUGGAGCAUCUCGUGGAGGACAGAGGUGGCCUGGGCCUUCGGGAGCUGGCUGCCAUCCACCAUGUCCUGGGGGAAACCGAAGUCUUUUCUGUCCUUCAGACAGAAGCGAGGGGAGAUUCUCCGCAUCUGGCCCAGAAGCAUGAAGUUCUUCCUGCUAAUCCGCACGUGGUUCUGAGACAGGUCGCAGCCCAGAGAUCCACCAGGGCCAUAGCUGAACACCACCAGGGCGGUCAGUAGAGGGAGCACGAAGGCCAUGGGGCAAAUGAGGCUGCUGCUGGCCUGGCUUAGACGGGCGUCUGGGGGAGCCUUGGGGGUAGGUUCUCUGAUGACAUUCUUUCUAAGUAUGGCUUUUAAAUAGGGAAGACAGUUUCCAUUUUCUGAAACUUUCUCUCUACUUUCACUUCCAAUUUGUGUUUUCAUUUAGAUAUUUUCUUUUGACCUAAGACGAUGUAAUCAAUCUAAACUCUUAAUUUACAAUAGAAGUUUAAGUUUCCCAGUAAACUUUGGAUGUGUCAAUCCAAAAGAAUAUCAAUUAAAUGAGAAACUAAUUAAAGGCUGAAGUAUAUGUAGGUAUGUAAAGAUUCAUGCACAUACUUAUGUACACAUUUUAUUUUAUUAUUUUUUUCUUUGUACAAUUUAUUUUUUUAUUUUGGCUGCGUUGGGUCUUCGUUGCUGUGCAUGGGCUUUCUCUAGUUGCAGCGAGAGGGGGCUACUUUUCAUUGUAGUACAUGGGCUUCUCACUGCAGUAUCUUCUCUUGUUGCAGAGCACGGGCUCUUGGCAUGUGGGCUUCAGUAGUUGUGGCAUGCUGGCCCAGUAGUUGUGGCUCGUGGGCUUAGUUGCUCCGUGGCAUGUGGGAUAUUCCUGGACCAGGGCUCGAACCUGUGUCCCCUGCAUCGGCAGGCAGGUUCUUAACCACUGUGUCACCAGGGAAGUCCCUGUACACAUUUCAGUAUGUAUAAAUAUUGCUCUUCUCUGUGUUAGGAACAAAAUUUGUCCUUGACUCUGGACUACAUUUUUACCAUCCUUACUUUAUACAUAGGAAGUUGGGGUCCCUCAUCCCUAUAGGUUUCUGUAUUUUGUUAAGUAAUUACCAGACCAUGCAUGGUAAAUAAGCUGUUUAGAACCAAAGACUGGUUUUGUUUUCUGUUUUAUUCAGAGCAGAGGCUUAUGAUUACUAGUGAAUGAGCUUCUCAGGUGUUUCUCUUCUUCCUAGAAUGCAUUCAUUCAAGUUCCGGAGGGUAUUCUUCACUGGGGCCACAAGGUCAGGACUAAUAUACUAGACAUCGCCCUUUCUUUCCACCAUUGUCUUACAGGAGACCUAUAGUGCUCCACAGGCUGGGCCAAUACCCUCAGCAGGAAUCCUGGUUCUUUUCUGGUGAAUGUAGGUAUGCAGAUUUUAAUUCCAAGAUAAUUAAUUGUAUUUUCCAGCACCGCCUCACUCACAAGGUAGUUAUCACAUCUAGUAGCACUUUCCUGGAAUGACAGAGUAUCCUCAACCCAAACUCUCUGGGGCUCACUCCCUGAGGGCAGGCUCACCACAUCCCGAGGAGUUCAGAAUUCUACUGUGGAGGGGCUUGUUUCUUUGUUUGCAAAAUAAUUCAUCUUCCAGGACCCGCACCCUUGUCCCUGGAGUGUUCGUGUUAAGGACCCUCUUUCUCAGUGGGGACCUCCUCCUCUCCUUACCUGUGUCCCCAGGUAUCAAAAGUAUGACCAGCCCGCAGAUACUGAAAGCAACAGUUUGUUUUGUCUAAGUAGGUGGAGGAAUUAUUCAAUUGCAAUUGUUUCACCUUUAGUAGACAAGUUUUAUUUUGCCAGUACAGCUUUUGUUGUUCAACUCUUUUAAACUGUUGAACUUUGUUACGCUCAGAAUUUCUGAGUUGGCUAUAGGGAAUUCAGUGAUGAUGCUGUCUCUCAUUAGAAGUUUAUGUCACAGAAACUAGUGACCUUCAGUUGUUCAUUCAGUCUACGUAUUUCUACUGGGCUUAUUUGUUUGUCCAUCUCUGCCUCGUGCUCAGAACGCAGAGCAGUGAGGCCCAGAUUAUGUCAGAGAGAAAUAGCCUGGUUUCCUUUACUUAUUCACAAUGUUUUGUUUUAAAUUUAAUUAACAACCAAAAAAAUUUAGGAACUUUUUUUUACAUAGUGAUUUACUGGCCAUAGUUACUUUCCAUUUCAUCCUGAGGUUAAUAAAAUGGGAAGUAAAAGAAUGGCAAAGGGGUUUCACCUUAUUUUCUAUGAUUUUCAAGACUUGAGAUUUUUUGUUUCUCAUUUCAACUUUCCAAGAGAGCAAAACUUGAGAGCUGUUUGUGGGCAAAAAUAAAACAGGUAAUUCUGAAUGUCAUGAAAGUGAAAAAAGAGAAGUGACGUUUCUGCUGACAAAAUGACAAAGUGUAAGUUAAACCUAAAAAAAGCAUCAACCAGGGCUUCCCUGGUGGUGCAGUGGUUGAGAGUCCACCUGCCAAUGCAGGGGACACGGGCUCGUGCCCCGGUCUGGGAAGAUCCCACAUGCCGCGGAGCGGCUGGGCCCGUGAGCCAUGGCCGCUGAGCCUGCGCGUCCGGAGCCUGUGCUCCGCAACGGGAGAGGCCACAGCAGUGAGAGGCCCGCGUACCGCAAAAAAAAAAAAAAAAAAAAAAAAAAGCAUCAACCAAAGAAUAGAAGGAAUCAUCGUAUUUGAAAGAUGUUAAGCAGCCACAAAGAGCCAAGUGAGUCCAAAAAAUGUCCAUGUUGUCCUGCCCUGAAAUGGGCUCCCAAAGUGGUGAAGGAAGAUAGAAAGACAAAGGACAAAAAUUAUUUAACAUGUAAAUUAGAGAGCUCUCUCAUCGGUCAAUUGGUUACGAAGUCUGUAACCUAAAGCAGAGAUUUGAGAGAUCUAGGCUAAAUUGAAGCCCUUCCCUGCUACCUGAGCAAUUCACACACACACAUACACACACAUGCAUGCAUGCAUGCACACUUCCUGGUUAACUUUGCCAAUUACAAUAUUGGAUUACCUUAAUAGUUCUCAAUUCUAUCCAAAUAGACUGUCAGUUGGCAACAGUUGUAUUCUCUGAAAUUCCUUUAUGUAUGUCUGUGUUCACUCUUACUACUGAGUCAAUGUGGAAGGGAUGCAAGUGCAGUCAUUAUUCAAAGGGACAUUGAGAAUUUUCUCCCAACUGUAAAGUCAAGCAACACGAUCUCAUACUGGGAAUGGAUUUGAAAAACUGACAACAUACUCUUAAGAAAGAGUUAAUGCACCUUCAAACAGGAGCUAUUUCCUCUGAUUCCCCUUGCAUUUCCACACCCAGAAUGGCAGGCUCUAAGCCUCCAAGAGUCCUACAGUAUGUAAAGCGAAUAAUGAUUCAGGAGGCUUGGCCAGCUGAGCAGCCUGGAGGCAAGGAACACAUUCUGACCCUUCUCUCCACACAGCUGCCUUAGCCCAAAGACAUGUCCUGCCUGAAGCUGGGAGUAUUUUCCCUCUCUAAGAUGCAAAGCUAAGGAAGCAGGCUUAGCCAAGUUAUUGGUGUCAGUUCUUUCCAGGAAAGAGCCUCUUUUAGCUCCGAAGAAAAUGCUAGUGGAAGAAGACAGACUUCUGCCUAGAACAGAAAGAAUCCUGCUCUGCAGACUUGGUCAAUGUCCUAGUCCAUCUUGGCCAGUAAGUGGCGCUCUUCCUCCAUAAGUGUUUUAACAGCCUCCAGAGUAAAAUGGAUCCUGCUUUCCAGUUCAUUUUUGCUACAGCUGCUGUCACAAUAUUGUAACAAGGACAUCCCCUCAUUCCCAAAAAUAUUCAUCAGAAGAAAAACAAUAACCUCUUAUAUAGGAGUUUCUGAAAAGUCCAGAACUUUCACUCAACUUUUGCUUUUAAUUUGUGGCUUUGUACUCUUAAGGGGAAAUUGGUGGCCAGAACCACAAAGGAACAGGACACAGCUGUAUGAAUGGCUGGUGCAGGAAAAGGAGGAGUGAAUGAGGGGAGCAUACUGCGAAUUUCUACAUUGGAGAGGAAGUACAGGUAUACUUUGCUUUAUCGCACUUCACAGAUAAUUGCACUUUUUACUAAUUGACAGUUUAUGACAACCCUACGUCAAGCAAGUCUAUCGGUGCCAUUUUCUAACAGCUUUUGCAUACUCCAUGUCUCUGUGUCACAUCACCUUAAUUUUCAGGAGUGUUCAAACCUUCACCGGCAGAAAAAUUCUGACUUGCUGAAGGCCCAGAUGACCAUUAGUAGUUUAUAACAAUAAAGUAUUUUUAAAAUUAACGUAUGUAUGUAUGUGUGGUCAGGCCACUCAAGAUGGCUGCUCUCUUGCUCUCUGUACAUCCCCUGCCCCACCAGUGCCUGCGUCUUCACCUACACCCUAUGCACAUGACUGACCUCCUUCUGUACUUGCACCAGGCCCCAGCUAGUUAGUUAUCUUAUCAAAGGGGCGGUGAGGGGCGUGCCCCUCUAAUGGUUUCCCUGGUAACUAAUGAGCCCACCUGAUGUCAAUUCCCCUAGAACUGGCAAUCUCCCCUUUGUUAGGGGAACCACUGACCAAAGCUGCCCACCCUGGCCAGGCAAGAUAGUAGCCACUUGCAUGAGUCAUCUUACAACAGCAGGUCCUGGUAAGGAACGUGGAACUAACAAGCUACCACCAACCAGAAGAUUUCCGGAAAGGUCAAAGAGAGGAAACGCCAGUCCAUAUGUCCUACCGACCUCCCAGAAUCCUUCUUACUGGAAUCCAUCUUGGCUGAACGAUAGGCGCGCCACCAGGAAGGACCCUGAGUCAGAAUGAUUGCUCAGAGACAACCCGGAAACUAACCCCAUUACCAUAAAACCUGAGACUGUGAGCCACGUGGCAGUUCUCCUGGGUUCCCUUAUCCUGCUGCUCUCCUUCCGAGCACCCCUCCCCAAUAAAGUCUCUUGCUUUGUCAGCACAUGUGUCUCCUUGGACAAUUCACUUACAAGUGUUAGACAAGAGCCCACUCUCAGGCCCUGGAAGGGGUCCCCCUUCCUGCAACACCUUCCCCCCCCAGGAUCGAAGACUGCCACCAAGUCUGGCCCACUGCGCACCGCACACGGUGGGGUGUCACUCCAGGACCUUGCUUCAGACGUGUAAGCUCCCCCAUCCAUUAAACCAUUGAUGUCUCUGUUGCUGACUCUGGGCUCUUAAGUCUUGAAGCUGGGCAAGCACAGGACUUGCAGGCCUGUGAGGUGCAGCCCAACAAUUGGCGGAGCAGCCGGGAGCCCGAGGAAACUGCCAUGAGCACAGAGAUGUUGGAAAAUACAGGAAGGGUAAUGGAAAGUUGCAGAGGCUGUCCACUAGCAUGCAGGGCCCGAAAAUUGCAGGGGUAAUCGUGUGGUGGCUGUCUACUAGUUUGUGGUGGCUGUCCUUGGUUAAUGGGGGCUGCCAAGAGAUAUGGAGAACAAUGGUCUCUAAUGGCUCCGCUGUUGUAUCAAAGUGAGCCUUUUGUAAUUGGUUAAGCCAGCUUUCUAGAAGGAAUUGGUAUUUCUCUUAUGCCUUUGAGAUGUAAAUGAUCUACCUGGGCUCUCUGGAACUUAAUCUUAUGUGAUCUCUAAGAGUAAAGGAGAAAGAAGAGCUUUUAGGUAAACUCUGUAGAAACAAACUAUGUUUGGGGAAUGUCUAUAUAAAAUAGUCUCUCCAGAUUUUGGUAACUUGAAACUAAACGGAGUUAAAUGAAGAGAAUUCAUUGACUAUCUGGGUCAUUUCAAAUAGGAUACUGAAACAUUAAUUGCUGGGCAGGCCUAAGAUUAUCUACCCUUGCCUUCUUAGGAGAGAAAGACUAAAGUGUAAGUUUCCAAUCAGGAAAUGUACAAUUACUUGCUUCUUGGUUUUUGCCAGAGAUUAAGGUUUUUAAGGGUUAAGAUUAUAAUCGGUUAUAAUUCUAGUUAUUGUAACCAAGUUUAUUUAUGGAUUACAUUGUAAUCAGGUCUCCUUAACCAUGGCUUUUUAAGUCUUCUGUCAUUUAUAGACAGUGUUUGUUGUACUCUGAUGUGUUUGCAAAAGUGCUUCAUCUUCAAGAAGAUUCAUAGGAAGGACUUUUUGACAAUAACAGGUCUCUGAUAAAUGUCAGAUUAUACCGCUGAACAGGGUAAGAAAUUAAGGUAUCCUAAUGGAAAACCUGAUGGCUUCAUAAAAAGAAAACAAAAAGAUUGGUUACUGAGUGAACUGGUGAAUAUGGUUAUAAUUUUUAUGGGUUUUGUCUGGAAAGUUGCUGGUAUUUAUCUGUGUUUUCCAGAUAGAAGGAAGCCCUUCCCCUCAAGUUGGUUAUGAUUUACAGCAAUUUUGGUAAACUACACCUGUGGGUAGAAUUAAAACAUGUUUCUUUUCUCUCUGCCUGGUCCCUCCAGAAAUUGGAGACUCGGGUUCUGAGCAGACUUAUCAGGUGAAUGGGAAAGACUGUCUCCGGGCAUGUGCAAGAAUCUCAAUAUUUGGGGGACUAAGAAAUCCACUGAGGCAGAGCCUGAUGGCAGGCCUUGGGCAUGACUUUCCUGGCCUUGAGAAGCCUGUUGGGAAUUCAGUCUGAGACUCCUUCUGAGGAGUUCUACCUCAGCCAGUUUGGAGGAGCCUAUAUAAUCAAUUGACCAGACUUGUUUUGCAGACAAAUUAGUCUUGAUUUGUGGAGAUGAGGGUAAUUUUAGAGAGAAAAAUAUAUGUUUCAGUGGAUGUUAAAUUCUAGUUUUGCUAAUUGAGGUCUAGAUUUAUUGUGGUGGUCUGGAACUGAACCUACAAUACUCUGAGCUAUGCCUGUAAGUAACUGUGGUAUGUAUGAAAAUAAAAGAAUGUGAUUCAGAAAAGCAAGGAGGGGAGGGCAAAAGGAGCCAGAUAUCAAAAUCUGCAAAAUAAUACUAUACAUAUUUCACUUCAGUUUAGAAAACUAACUUCUCUUCCAGAUGUUUAUGCAGGCCGCCAUUUUGGAACUGAAAAUACACAUCAGUUACCUUUGAUGUGAAGAGUGACUAUAUUUCAGCCUUCUCCAGAACACUUCACAGAAUUCCAUUUUUCAGACUGUCAUGUUUUUGCAGGUGUUGAGAAAGAAGUGGGAGACUUCACUAUUCUGAUAGAUAUCUAUAUGAAAAAAUAAGAAAAUAGUUACCAUAUUUAAGCCCUAACUCUGUGGAAAAUAGCCUAAGUGUUUUAAGAUGUUAGUUUAGUACAAUAAUUCUUAGAAUAUUUUCACUUUAUUGUACGUUUGAGAAAACUGAGGCUCAGAGAAGUUAGGAUCACACAUAAUUGCUGGCAGCGUCAAGAGUCACUACAGAACUCUAUAUUGCAUAUUAUAGGCAAUUGAAAAAGUUUCAUGUUUUAGAAUUCUAUUCAGGUUUAAAAUAUGCUUUGAUCCCAAAAUUAAAUAAACGUCUUGCUCCCUUGUUUUCUUUUUAUUGGUGCAUACUAUUUUAUUUCUUUUUUGCUGGUUUCCACCUAUUCUUUACCUUAGAUAUUGUGGAAGAGAACUUCCUUGAUCCAGUUUCAGUCUUCCAUCUUAUGAAGGAAUUGUCCCAGGCUAUUAUACUCAUUGCAAUUUGGUUAUCUGUGCAUCCCCAGGAGCCUGUGAUUUUCAUAAAAUUGAUGCUCCACAUUGAGGAGGAAAUAUAAAUUUAAUCAGGAAGAAUGCAAAUAAUGUUAAAGAAUAGAAGAAUUCUUAGCAUACCUAUCUUUUCUAGAAAAUGAAAUUAGAUUAAAGUAGUAAUACUAAAAACUGUGAUAAAGGGAGAAAUUAGGUAAACAGAUUAUUAAAUUUCAAUUCUGAAAUUGAAUUAUCAGUAUUAGAUUUAAGAUAAAAGAUAUAUCUGAUGUUAACAUGAUGGAAAAACAUUUCAAUAAAUGGUUCUAGGAUGAUUAGUUAGCAAUCUAGGAAGAAAUCAAAAUAAAAUCUCAUCUCAUACCAUAUGUGAUAGUAAAAUCUUGAUGGAAUGGAGAAUUGACAGUAAGAUUAGAUUUAAAAAGGAGAGAGGAGGCCCACAGUAACCUUGUAAGCUCAUGAGAAAUAGCUAACCUAUUAAAAAAAGUUGGCUAUUUUUUAAUAUAUACAAAAUUUUAACUUCAGAUGAAACAGGACAUGGCUACAGAGACUUGCCUGGCAAGAUGCCUGAAUGAAGCCUGAUCUCAGAAUUUCCUCACCCAGAAACCAACAAAAUAAGGAAAAUUAAGUAAAAUGUACAAAAUACAUAAGCAGCCAUCAAAGAAUGGAAGAGGAAUAAUAUUUGAAAAGUGUUAAGACAUGAAUUAGGGAGGAACAAUGGAAUAGCUCAUUUUAUAUGUCAGCUUGGUUAGACCAUGGUACCCAGAUACUUGGUCAAACACUAUUCUAGAUGUUUCUGUGAAGGUAGGUUUUACAUGAGAUUAUAGGAAUUUGACAUUUAAGUCAGUAGACUUUAAGUAAAACAUAUUACCUUCCAUAUUACAGGUGGGCCUCAUCCAAUCAGUUGAAGGCCUUAAUAGAAAAAGACUGACCCUCCCAGGAAUAAGAAAGAAUUCUGCCAGAUACUGCCUUUGGACUUGAACAGCAACUCUUCCCUGGGUUUCCAGCUUGCAGCCUACCCUGCAGAUUUUGGACUUGCCAAGCCUCUACAAUCACCUAAGCAAAUUCCUUAAAAUAUCAAUCUCUCUCUUUCUCUGGUUCCCGCUGGUUCCGUUUCUGGAAAACCCUGACCAAUACAGGCUGGGAAGCCAAAUGUUUCCAAGCCUUCUCCAUCUGCUGAAUGUUUCCAUCUGCCCCUCCUCCAGAGGGGAGAACAAGAUAGCAAAGGACAAAAGUCUGUUGAAAUUUUACUAAGGCCCUGGCCAACGCCAAGUUGGAGAACAGCAAAUCCAAAUGUUGAGUGAGUAACCUCAGGAAAAGAUUGGAGACACACACACAGUUGCAGGCCCUCCCUGCUACCUUAGCAAUUUACACAUACUCCCCAGUGAAAUACCUCAAUGAAGAUAUUGAUUACAGAAAUUCCUCUCAACUUAUACCAAAAUUGAUACAUUUGAAUUUUAAAAAAUGUCACUAAGCUCUCAGAUACUAUUCAUUCACGCUUCUUUGUUUCUCUCUUUUGCUACCUAGGCAGAAUUUUUACUACUGAGUACAAUAGAUGUCAAGAUUGUUAUUCAAAGUGGCAAUGAGAAUAGUUUUCUAUUUAAUAAUAGUUGAAGUCUCAUAUUUGGAAUAAAUCUGUGAAACUAAAAUUUUAUUUUUGACAGUUGUUUAAUGCAUUAUAAACCUGAGGUUUUCCUGGUUAUCAUUGAAUUCCAUGUCCAGGUUGGCAGCUCUGCCUGUUUUGUUGUAUGUGGAAGGAGUAAUUCAAAGGGAGGCUCUGGUCUGCAUAGUGGGCUGUAGGAAGGGAACACAUUUUUUGUCCCUUUGCCUGAUCCCAAAGAGUACAUGCCCUGCCUGAAGCCAGAGACUGGAGACUCUUUCUCUUUGUAACAGAGAGUAAAGAAACAAGUUUAUGACAGCAUUAGAAUUAAUUGGUGCCAAGAAGAAGCCUUUUUGUAGCAUGAAGGGACAUCCCCAGGAAGUGGUAGGAUUUCUGCAUAGAUCAGAGGCCUGUCCUCCAGUCUUGGUCGCUGCUGUUGUUGCACUUAGCCACCUGAGGGCUGUCUUCCCUGAGAGGAGCUUCAUCUUCCCACCCAUAGCUAAAGUUUCCUUUUAGCUACAGCUACUAUUACAUCAUACUCAGCUGAAAUUAAGGAAAGCCUCUCUUGCAGAUGUUUCUGCAAAACCUAGAAGUUUUAUUUAACUUUUGCUUUCUACUUGUGUUGUUCUGCUUUUUAGGAAACCAUUAAGCUGAAAAAACAGCAGAAGGGAGUUGUGUGAAUGGUGAAGGGUUUAAGUGAAUAAGAAGGAUGGUGUGGGAAUUUCUACCUUGGAGGGGAAGGAAAUAUUGUGAUAUGGGAGUGUAUCCUGGAAUGAUGAGAGGGAGGGAAUGUGCCAGGUGCCAGAACCAUUAAAUAGAUAGCAUGUUCUUCUGCCAUUUAUCUAAAUAUUUAUUCCCGUCUCUCAGAUAUCAAUACGAGCCACCAUUUCAUCUCUGAAUGUAAACAAGACACUUCUUUGAAAUGACGGAUGAAAUGACAAUUUUUCAACCUUCUCUAAAAUUCACGACAGAAUUCUGUUUUUUUAGGCUGCCUCCUUCGGAGGUCAGUUACUGAAAAGUAGGUCACAGUUCCUGAGAAUUUUAUAGAAAGAGACAUAUAAUAUUCUCAUAUACAACUGUCUGAAGGAAAACAGGAAAAAACCUAGUAUAUUUUAAUUCCUUACUCUAAUAUAUGAUGCUAAAUGCUUUAAAAAGCAUGAGUUCAUUUAAUAUUCAUAAAAAAUCUAUAAAUAUUUUGAACCCAUUUUAUUUAUGGAAAAACUGAGGCUUAGAUUAAGUGGGUUUCGCGACAUAACACGUGUACAAGCAGAAUGGAAUUUCAAUGAAAAAUUUUUUAUUGU